rnacentral:tRNA from 1 species
GAAACGUAAUACGCCGCGUAGACUUCGGUCACGACGGUAUGGCGAGCUUUCGCCGUCCACGUUUCUCUUUCUUCAAGAAGACAAAAAACCGUAUCGACCGGUUCCCCGAAUGGGCCCGUAGCUCAGUUGGUUAGAGCACACGCUUGAUAAGCGUGGGGUCGGAAGUUCAAGUCUUCCCGGGCCCACCAUUUACUUGAUGUGAAUGAUGGUUUGGGAUGAUGGAAUGGCAGUUGAUGCGGAUUGUUGCCGAACCCGGGAUGUGUCCUGGGCGAUCGAGCUGAUGGGGCUGUAGCUCAGCUGGGAGAGCACCUGCUUUGCAAGCAGGGGGUCAGCGGUUCGAUCCCGCUCAGCUCCACCAAAUCGAUUGGUGUUGAGACUGACGGCAUUUGUCUUUUGAAGAAAUACAAGUUUUGCAUCGGCUUUGAGCCUGAUGCCUGUUCUGCAUAUAUCGUGAAGAGAAGAUUGAUCUGGAGGCUUCCAGGUGUUUUGGGUUCUGCCCAAAGCGUCCGAGCCCAGUUCCUGUGAACCCAUGGAUGGCCUAGCCGGCCGGAUGUGGUGGAGGGAUUGGAGGUAGGAAGGAAGCUUGUCGCUCUGGAUCGUUGUUGUUUGCAGUCUUCGGACUGCAUCUGACGGACGAUCGGAUUACCGUUGCCUGACCGCGCGGUAUCGGAUCCAAUCUCGAGAAGCUGGUCUUAAGACAGGCUGCAAGUGGGCUGCUCGGCGUAGCUCCAAUAAAGCAGACCUGUCGAACACGUCGAUGGCAU